rnacentral:rRNA from 1 species
UACAGAGGGUGCAAGCGUUGUUCGGAAUUAUUGGGCGUAAAGGGCGCGUAGGCGGUGCGGUAAGUCUGUAGUGAAAUCUCUGGGCUCAACUCAGAGUCUGCUGCAGAAACUGCCGUGCUUGAGUGUGGGAGAGGUGAGUGGAAUUCCCGGUGUAGCGGUGAAAUGCGCAGAUAUCGGGAGGAACACCUGUGGCGAAAGCGGCUCACUGGACCACAACUGACGCUGAGGCGCGAAAGCUAGGGGAGCAAACAGG